CUACUUUUUCUCCCUACAUAAUAUAUCCAUUUCAUAAGUAGUAUGAAUAAAUAUAAGAACUUUUACCAACAAACAACUCUAGCAAGCAAACGUAAUUACCAAGAAGAGCAGCAGCUUGCUAAUCAAUGCAAAAGACAACAAAACGGCAUCAUAAGCACAACUUCACUUUAUCUAAUCAUUUCCUAAUCAACUUCUAUUUAUCAAGCAAACUUGCAUCA
rnacentral:lncRNA from 1 species